CCAGACCAGGCAUGGACACAGCGAUUUCAGCGGGGGCAGAGCGCCCCCCUGCGGGACACUCAUAUUCCAUUGCUACACAUAUAGCAAAACGACGGAGUUGCAGCGGGUUUGUAUUUUGAUACAAUAUUUUUUCCCCAUCGAUUCCAGUAAUUAUGUGUCUAAAAGACAAAUAUUUAUUUUCAAUGGACGCUGUUUAUUAUCGAAAUUCCAAAGCCCACCCAACACGUUGGAAAUAUCUGAGAGAGUUGAAUGGCUUCCUUUUCCGAACCAAACCUUGGCUCCCGCCCCGGGCUUUGCUCCUUCUUCUAGGGAUCCCUCUCUCUUGAGCUCGCUGAGCACGGGUUCUGGGUAAAGGCCCAGUGUCACUAGGCAAAAGAAGACACGAAUGGAAGAGACGGACACAAGGAGCGCCACAUUUGUAAAGACUGGACUAUCUGGGAUCAAAAUGACAACGAGGAAAACACAACACUUGCUCUUUGUCCUCUGUGUUUUCUUCUGAUCUAUAAUUGAUGUAGUCCCUUGGAGCGCACAGGGCAAACCUUUUUACACCUUACUGUUUUAAAACCUUUUACACCUUCCUGUCAACGUCCAACCAGGUCAGCGAUCUUCUCAUGGCAGAGAUGGAGCACAGUGUUAGAGGCAUCUAGGAAUACUAUGAACUUAAGAAACACACAUGAUGUACAUAUACUCUACCCUGCCAUGAUUGACCAAAAAAUUUCUCUGAGAAAUGAAGACAAAAAACACUUAACUGUUUUAUC